CCAUGCUCCUCCUCUCUCCUGUUGGUGCCAACUCCCUCUAUCAACUUUCCUGAGACAAAAGCUCCUUUUGUGGCGGUGGAAAAACAACAUGGCAGAAUUUGCCGUCCAGUCCGAAGGAAGAAGCGAGGGGAUUGUGAUUAAAGAUGACUGGCCAGGCUACAGUUUAGAUCUCUUCAGCUAUCCAGCACACUACUCCGGAGAUUUAGACUGUGUCAUCAUCCCGCAUGGCGUGAUUAUGGACAGAACAGAACGUCUCGCUAGAAACAUCAUGGAUGACCUGGGGAACCACGCCAUUGUGGUCCUGUGCGUGCUGAAAGGAGGUUACCAGUUUUGUGCCGACCUGGUGGACAGGAUCAAGGACCUUAGCCACAACUCCAACCGCACAAUCCCCAUGACGGUACACUUCAUCCGUCUCAAGAGUUACUUGAAUGACGAGUCAACAGAGGAUCUUCACAUCCUCGGAGGAGAGGACUUGUCUUUUUUAGCUGGAAAGAAUGUUCUGGUUGUGGAGGGCAUUGUAGGCACCGGAAAGACGAUGAAGACUCUCCUGAAGCACGUCGAAGCCUUCGGGCCCAAAAUGAUCAAAGUAGCAGGAUUGCUGGUGAAGAGAGUGCCGCAUAGCUCAGCAUGUGUUCCUGACUGUACGUACCUGACCAACCCUUUUAUGGCUCAAUGUCGGCUUUGAGAUACCCAAUCAUUUUGUGGUUGGAUAUGCUUUAGACUACAAUGAGUAUUUUAGAGAUCUCAGUCACAUUUGCGUGAUCAGCGACACCGGGAAGAUGAAAUAUAAGAUUUAAAGAGAGGGCCGGCGAUAGAGGCGACUGUCGAGCAGAUGUCAUCGGACGGCCAGCCCAGACACUUCCUGUGAGAUGCCAUUGACUUACAGCUGCUAUGGUGACAUCUGAUCCCAAUCAUGCCUGCGUUGUUAUAACAUUCCUGGUUCCAAACAUGUUAACGUUUUAACAACACACACUGCAACAUUUAACUGGAGAUUUGAACACAAAAAGCGCAUGCUUGAGGAUAAGUUGGAGCUUUGUUGCUUUGACGCAGGUGAUUCAGGUUUAAAACGUGUAGUGUUAAGUGGAGGGAAUGCUGUUCUAACUCUAUAUCUAAAGCAUCCAAUCAUCCCAGGUGUACUGCUUCUUUUAUGAAAUGUAAAGCAUUCAAUAACCACUGCAUGUGAGGAAUACCAACAAAACCUAAAAUGAAAGGAAGUUGUUGUUUUUUUUAAAUUCGUUCUCCACCUGUGCGAUGCCUUUUUAAAGUUUCAUCUGAUUUUCCGUCACUUUUAACACACAAGGGAGAAACAGUUCAAGUCUUGUCAACACUAAGUGCCAUUACUACCUCCUUUGUGUGUGCGUUUGCAUGUUUUUUCACUUGCUGUACUUUUGUCAUUUCUCUGUAUCAGUUUAUGUUCUAACAUACAAUAAAAUGUUUUUUUUAAGAUUUCUGCAUUCUACUAUUAAU